rnacentral:rRNA from 1 species
GAUCUGGCUUAGAUUGAACGCUGGCGGCGUGCUUAACACAUGCAAGUCGCGCGUGAAAGGACUUCGGUCCGAGUAAAGCGGCGCACGGGUGAGUAACGCGUGGAUGAUCUACCCAUGAGUUAGGAAUAACGGCUGGAAACGGUCGCUAAUACCAAAUACGCUCCGAUUUCAACUUCGGGGGAAAGGUGGCCUCUGCUUGCAAGCUACUGCUCAUGGAUGAGUCCGCGUCCCAUUAGCUAGUUGGUGGGGUAACGGCCCACCAAGGCGACGAUGGGUAGCCGGUCUGAGAGGAUGACCGGCCACACUGGGACUGAAACACGGCCCAGACUCCUACGGGAGGCAGCAGUGGGGAAUAUUGCGCAAUGGGCGAAAGCCUGACGCAGCGACGCCGCGUGAGGGGAAUGAAGGUCCUCGGAUCGUAAACCUCUGUCAGGAGGGAAGAACCGCCACGGUGCUAAUCAGCCGUGGUCUGACGGUACCUCCAAAGGAAGCACCGGCUAACUCCGUGCCAGCCGCGGC